rnacentral:rRNA from 1 species
UAGUCCACGCCGUAAACGAUGGUUACUAGCUGUUUGGACUUCGGUCUGAGUGGCUAAGCGAAAGUGAUAAGUAACCCACCUGGGGAGUACGAUCGCAAGAUUGAAACUCAAAGGAAUUGACGGGGGCCCGCACAAGCGGUGGAGCAUGUGGUUUAAUUCGAUGAUACGCGAGGAACCUUACCAGGGCUUAAAUGUAGAGUGACAGCUUUAGAGAUAGAGUUUUCUUCGGACACUUUACAAGGUGCUGCAUGGUUGUCGUCAGCUCGUGCCGUGAGGUGUCAGGUUAAGUCCUAUAACGAGCGCAACCCCUGUUGUUAGUUACCAGCACGUGAUGGUGGGGACUCUAACAAGACUGCCGGUGCAAACCGUGAGGAAGGUGGGGAUGACGUCAAAUCAUCACGGCCCUUACGUCCUGGGCUACACACGUGCUACAAUGGUAGUGACAGUGAGUUAAUCUCCAAAAACUAUCUCAGUUCGGAUUGUCGUCUGCAACUCGACGGCAUGAAGUCGGAA